AGAUGCACUAUUGUAAAGUGACUGUUCCACUGGAUGUCAUAAGGUGAAUGCACCAAUUUGUAAGUCGCUCCGGACAAGAGCGUCUGCUAAAUGACUUAAAUGUAAUGUAAACAAACAAAAAUUCAUUUCAAUUUGAAAAUGUUCCUAAUUGCAAAAACAUGUAACAGAAUUUGGGUAUUCCAGAACUGUUGUUUACAUGUAAAUCAACAUAACCCUGUUUUAUGUUUUUAAUACUGCAGAUAGAAUGCUCUGUGUGCCAGAGAUGGUUUCAUUUAGCUUGUCUGGGGAUGACAAUGAAGGACUUCAACAAAGCCAAAAUAGAACAUUAUUGUAAGGGACCUUUUUGCUGUUAAAUUAGAGACGUAUAAAUAAAUGACUGUUGUUCCUUGUAACUACUUUAAAAUGUGGACCUGUUGCACUAAAAAUGCAAACAUUGAUUUGGCAUACGAUUUAAGAUUGUAAACAUUGUACAACUUUAUGUAAACAUUGUCUAACUUCAUAUAGAACAAAUUGCACUUGAAAUUAACAUUUAUUCUCACUUUUUUCAAGAAACAAUCACUGAAUGAGUUGAUUUCUUCAUCUUUAAAUGCAAUAUUUGAGAUUUUAUGUAUUUCUAUCAAAUCAAAAUGGCAAUUUCUACUCAAAGCAAAGGUUGUAAAAGUCUACUAGACAUUUACAGAAUGAAUCAUACAUAGUUUGAUGUUUCUGUGAAUUAGUUAUUUAAAUGUUUUAAAUGAUAUUUGAUCGAUUUUAUGCUAGACUUUUAUAUCUAUUUUCGUUUCUGUGACAAUCAAUCAAAAUAGUAUUAAUUACAUGGCUUUGAAUCGGUCUGGUUUCUCAUGCGAUUUUUAAAAAAUGACCUCAAUGACGGCCUACUAAGGAACAGUGGGUUACCUGCAUUGUGCAGGGGCAGAACGACAGAUUUUAGCCUUGUCAGCUCGGGGAUUCGAUCCAGCAACUUUUCAGCUACUCGCCCAACGCUCUACCACUAGUGAUGCUAGGAUACAUAUGAUAUGCAGCGUGAGCUAUAGUGAAUAAACCACUGCAGUCAUUAAAUUGAUAAAAGAAUGGCCAUGUAUCAACUGUGUGAAGACAGAAUCUUUUUGGUAUUUAUUAGGAUCCCCAUUAGCCGCUGCAAAAGUAUCAAAAUUGUACACUUCUCUCAUUGACUUCUCAAACUCCGGCUUGGUCUGCUUCGCAAGCCUUCUCUGAAGUCUCGUGUUUUUACGUCUCUUGGUUUAGAAACUGGGUAGUGGGCGAACAGGAAGUUCCGCGCAGGCGCGCAUCAUUCUUCAGAAUAAAGGAUACGUCAGAAUUGUGCAGUUGAUACGAUAACUUCCGUGUCCGUUUCUAAUAUAUUACUACUGGUAUGAGGCCUCAACAGUGAGGACAAACCCAGCCUGCCUCUCUCCUUCCACACUGAGUCCAAACCCACAGUCACUGGGUCCUGAUUGUGACAGUGGAGCCCAGUUUGCACUGCAGGAUCCAGAGAUGGCAUCAGUGAAGCUGGAAGACUGCAGUCAAUCACUGGAGCUGAAUGUCAACAUUAAAGAUGAAGAAGAUAAGAUUGGGACAUCUCUUUCUCAUGGACGGCUAGAAUUAAGUCUGGGGCCGGUAACAUCAACAGUGACGACAAACCCAGCCUGCCUCUCUCCUUCCACACUGAGU